rnacentral:rRNA from 1 species
UACGGAGGGAGCUAGCGUUGUUCGGAAUUACUGGGCGUAAAGCGCACGUAGGCGGCUAUUCAAGUCGGGGGUGAAAGCCCGGGGCUCAACCCCGGAACUGCCCUCGAAACUAGAUAGCUAGAAUCUUGGAGAGGCGAGUGGAAUUCCGAGUGUAGAGGUGAAAUUCGUAGAUAUUCGGAAGAACACCAGUGGCGAAGGCGACUCGCUGGACAAGUAUUGACGCUGAGGCACGAAAGCGUGGGGAGCAAACAGGG